UACGGAGGGGGCUAGCGUUGUACGGAAUUACUGGGCGUAAAGCGCAUGUAGGCGGUUUGGUUAGUCAGGGGUGAAAUCCCGGGGCUCAACCUCGGAAUUGCCUUCGAUACUGCCGAGCUCGAGUCCCGGAGAGGUGGGCGGAAUUCCCGGUGUAGAGGUGAAAUUCGUAGAUAUCGGGAGGAACACCAGUGGCGAAGGCGGCCUACUGGACGGUUACUGACGCUGAGACGCGAAAGCGUGGGGAGCAAACAGG
rnacentral:rRNA from 1 species